rnacentral:rRNA from 1 species
AUUGAACUCUGGCGGCAGGCCUAACACAUGCAAGUCGAGCGAGCGGCGGACGGGUGAGUAAUGCCUGGGAAUUGCCCAGUCGAGGGGGAUAACAGUUGGAAACGACUGCUAAUACCGCAUACGAUUGGAUUGCCCAGGUGGGAUUAGCUAGUUGGUGAGGUAAUGGCUCACCAAGGCGACGAUCCCUAGCUGGUCUGAGAGGAUGAUCAGCCACACUGGAACUGAGACACGGUCCAGACUCCUACGGAAGGCAGCAGUGGGGAAUAUUGCACAAUGGGGGAAACCCUGAUGCAGCCAGGCAGGGUGUGUGAAGAGAUCUUUCGGGUGGUAAAGGACUGUAGCCGAAGAGGCGUUAAACGCAGAAGAAGCACCGGCUAAAUACGUGGCAGCAGCCGCGGUAAUUC